CACGUAGGGCGCGAGCGUUGUCCGGAAUUAUUGGGCGUAAAGAGCUCGUAGGCGGCCUGUUGCGUCCGCUGUGAAAGCCCGGGGCUUAACCCCGGGUCGGCAGUGGAUACGGGCAGGCUAGAGGUAGGUAGGGGAGAAUGGAAUUCCCGGUGUAGCGGUGAAAUGCGCAGAUAUCAGGAGGAACACCGGUGGCGAAGGCGGGUCUCUGGGCCGAUACUGACGCUGAGGAGCGAAAGCGUGGGAGCGAGCAGG
rnacentral:rRNA from 1 species